GCUGGGUGCAGUGGCACACUCCUGUAAUCCCAGCUACUUGGGAGGCUGAGGCAGGAGUUUGAGGCCAGCCUAGGCAAUUUAAUGAGACCCUGUCUCAA
rnacentral:sRNA from 1 species